rnacentral:rRNA from 1 species
GAAAGAUUCAUCGGAAGAGGAUGGGCAUGCGGCGCAUUAGCUAGACGGCGGGGUAACGGCCCACCGUGGCGACGAUGCGUAGGGGUUCUGAGAGGAAGGUCCCCCACACUGGUACUGAGACACGGACCAGACUCCUACGGGAGGCAGCAGUGAGGAAUAUUGGUCAAUGGGAGAGAUCCUGAACCAGCCAAGCCGCGUGAGGGAAGACGGCCCUAUGGGUUGUAAACCUCUUUUGUCGGAGAACAAAACCCGGGACGUGUCCCGGACUGCGUGUAUCCGAAGAAAAAGCAUCGGCUAACUCCGUGCCAGCAGCCGCGGUAAUACGAAGGAUGCGAGCGCUAUCCGGAUUUAUUGGGUUUAAAGGGUGCGUAGGCGGUCCGUUAAGUCAGCGGUAAAAUUGCGGGGCUCAACCCCGUCGAGCCGUUGAAACUGGCAGACUUGAGUUGGCGAGAAGUACGCGGAAUGCGCGGUGUAGCGGUGAAAUGCAUAGAUAUCGCGCAGAACUCCGAUUGCGAAGGCAGCGUACCGGCGCCAGACUGACGCUGAGGCACGAAAGCGUGGGGAUCGAACAGGAUUAGAUACCCUGGUAGUCCACGCAGUAAACGAUGAAUGCUGGUUGUCCGGGUCGAAUGAGAUCUGG